rnacentral:rRNA from 1 species
AUUGAACGCUGGCGGCAGGCCUAACACAUGCAAGUCGAACGGUAACAGGAAACAGCUUGCUGUUUCGCUGACGAGUGGCGGACGGGUGAGUAAUGUCUGGGAAACUGCCUGAUGGAGGGGGAUAACUACUGGAAACGGUAGCUAAUACCGCAUAACGUCGCAAGACCAAAGAGGGGGACCUUCGGGCCUCUUGCCAUCGGAUGUGCCCAGAUGGGAUUAGCUUGUUGGUGGGGUAACGGCUCACCAAGGCGACGACCCCUAGCUGGUCUGAGAGGAUGACCAGCCACACUGGAACUGAGACACGGUCCAGACUCCUACGGGAGGCAGCAGUGGGGAAUAUUGCACAAUGGGCGCAAGCCUGAUGCAGCCAUGCCGCGUGUAUGAAGAAGGCCUUCGGGUUGUAAAGUACUUUCAGCGGGGAGGAAAGGGAGUAAAGUUAAUACCUUUACUCAUUGACGUUACCCGCAGAAGAAGCACCGGCUAACUCCGUGCCAGCCGCCGCGGUAA